rnacentral:rRNA from 1 species
AUUGAACGCUGGCGGCAGGCCUAACACAUGCAAGUCGAGCGAGCGGCGGACGGGUGAGUAACGUCUGGGAAACCGCCUGAUGGAGGGGGAUCACUACUGGAAACGGUAGACAAUACCGCAAAUCAUCAGAUGUGCCCAGCUGGGUUUAGCUAGUAGGUCGGGUAACGGCUCACAUAGGCGACGAUCCCUAGCUGGGCUGAGCGGCUGACCAGCCACACUGGAACUGAGACACGGUCCAGACUCCUACGGGAGGCAGCAGUGGGGAAGAUUGCGCAAUGGGCGCAAGCCUGAUGGAGCCAUGCCGCGUGUGUGAAGAAGGCCUUCGGGUUGUAAAGCACUUUCAGCGGGGAGGCGUUACCCGCAGAGGAAGCACCGGCUAACUACGUGCCAGCAGCCGCGGUAAUAC